AUUGAACGCUGGCGGCAGGCCUAACACAUGCAAGUCGAGCGAGAGGCGGACGGGUGAGUAAUGUCUGGGAAACUGUCUGAUGGAGGGGGGUAACCACUGGAAACGGUAGCUAAUACCGCAUACCAUCAGAUGUGCCCAGAUGGGAUUAUCUAGUAGGUGGGGUAACGGCUCACCCAGGCGACGCUCCCUAGCUGGUAUGAGAGGAUGACCAGCCACACUGGAACUGAGACACGGUCCAGACUCCUACGUGAGGCAGCAGGGGGGAAUAUUGCACAAGGGGCGCAAGCCUGAUGCAGCCAUGCCGCGUGUGUGAAGAAGGCCUUCGGGUUGUAAAGCACUUUCAGCGGGGAGGCGUUACCCGCAGAAGAAGCACCGGCUAACUCCGUGCCAGCAGCCGCGGUAAUUC
rnacentral:rRNA from 1 species